rnacentral:rRNA from 1 species
UGGGGAAUAUUGGGCAAUGGGCGAAAGCCUGACCCAGCGACGCCGCGUGGGCGAUGAAGGCCUUCGGGUUGUAAAGCCCUGUCAUGCGGAAAGAACGACCCUGAGACGCAUACUCUCAGGGAGUGACGGUACCGCAGGAGGAAGCACCGGCUAACUCCGUGCCAGCAGCCGCGGUAAUACGGAGGGUGCGAGCGUUGUUCGGAAGUAUUGGGCGUAAAGGGCGCGUAGGCGGUAAUGUAAGUCAGAGGUGAAAUACUCCGACUCAACCAGAGAACAGCAUCUGAAACUGAAGAACUAGAGUACAGAAGAGGGAAACGGAAUUCCCGGUGUAGAGGUGAAAUUCGUAGAUAUCGGGAGGAACACCAGUGGCGAAGGCGGUUUCCUGGGCUGAUACUGACGCUGAGGCGCGAAAGCGUGGGGAGCAAACA